GUCAGUGAUUUGCAUCACUCUAGACGUGAGUAUGCUUUUAGGCAAGGCUUAUAUGGUUUUCCUUGCACUAAACUUUGACCAAGAAUGUUUACAUAUAUACUUAAUAUUUUCAUUGUGCUGUUCUUGGUUUCUUCCAAGAUUGCACAAUUGGCUUGGUUUUCCUGUAGAUUGUACAGCUUUGUUUGUCAGUGGGUAUUUACUUUAAAGAACUGUAUAAAUUCAGACAUAUUUGAGGAUGUUGGUCAAAGUCUGGGUUAACUGUACCAAUGCUUUGUCUGUGUUGUUCACUUUAAUAGUGUGUAACAGAACUACCCCAGUGUCAAAAUUACACAACUCACUCUACAUUAACUGAUCACGGCUACCCACAAAUGCUAACCUCUCUCUCUCUCUCUCUCUCUCUGUGUGUGUCUCACUAACCCACCUCUGCCUGAAUGUGUAUGUGUGUUUUCUCGGGGCAGUGAUACGACUGAAAGUUCUCCUACUGAAGAUCGUUCUCCCUCUCACCAAAGCACUGACCAGUAGAGAGAUCGCCAUUCACAGAUAGUUGUUUCCUGAGCAGUCCCCUGUGCUCUGAGAUAGUGGACGUACAGUGGUACGGGCACGAGAAGGCAAAGCCGGGAACGCUCGUCUAAACCCUCAUCCUUCAUCCCUCUCUCUUUAAAAGAGUGUUCAGAAGGCAGGCCUGACCACAGUCUGGACCUCAACUCAUCUGAAAACACCUAUGGCUGGAGCCAGUACCACCUCGCCCUCUCCUUCCUCUCUGUAUAUCCGGCGGUACAGUGCUUAUGAACUAUGGGAAUACAAGAGUCUGAAUGAACUGAGCUUGACCUUGUCUGACCCUCCCACUCUGACUUUUGAACUUUGACCCAGUUAGCUGGCAGCCGGUUUUUCCGUAUGCACAAACCCUCCGUGUUUAAUCCAUCGCUGGAUUGAUGUGCAUAAGAGAUGUCUUAUGCGCGUUGUACUAUAAGUGAACCCCACUCAUGCACACACAUGCUAAAAUAGUCGUUCGCCCCCUGCUGUCGUGUGUGUCCCUCUGCACUGAUGUCAGAGAGCCGGCGUCGUUCUCUCUCAUGCACAUGACAUGCACAAAAAAACAUUCCAAUGGAUUGCUUUGGCGUCAACCACCUUUGUAGAACUUUAUGUUCUUAGUUCUGUUAAAAAACAAAAAAAACAGUAUGUGACCACAAGCCCCACCUUCAUACUACAGCGCCCCUUCUCAUUGGACCGGAGUGCAUCAUAAGCCCCUCCCACUGUCUGGGAACUUUGAUAUUUUGUGAAUAACAAUAGAGCAUUUAAAAAAGGCAGAGGCCUUUCUUCGGUCGUUCUGGAUUGGAAGAUGAGCCCCAAUAUCAUAUCGCUCAUGAUUAUGACGUCACAAGUAUGUCAUUUCGAGAAAAUUCAAAACAUUGUAGUCUUUGUGCGUAAUGUUGAUUUGUCAUUCUCAAGUUCAUCGAUUCUGGUCCAGGAAGUUCAGCCAUUUUUACAAAACAUUAGCUAAUUUAGAAGCCAUAGCUGUAAAACAAAUCUGAAAUGUUAGCUUAGAGGCAUUAGCAUGACCCUCGGCUUUGAGUGACUGAUCUGUGAAGUACUGCAACUCAGGCUGCAACCGGCAACUCGCCACCAUGGUGCUCUGAGCUUGAACUGCACAUCCCACAAUGCCCUGCUGUAUGCCCACACUGCAUGAACAGUCACAAACCCCCGCCUAUAGUGUUGUGACAUCAGUGAAGUAACGAGACACACAAAACCUUCUUCAAACACCGCUGGCCUUAUCGGUUUUCUGUUUUUAUGUAUGUUUUUAAUUCAGGAUUUUACUUAAUUGUAACACCACUAUGACAUUACGUUCGUAUUUAUAAAACCGUCAAAAGUCAGAUGAGCACAACGCAACGUGGCACACCGACACAAUAUUUUAACGAAAAUGACAUUACCUCUUCCCUGAGGCUUUCAGGAGAACAGCAUUCCAGAAUGUGACGUGAUUAAAGCAGGUGCUUCAUUUUAAAAGCAGCCAGUGAGAAACCAUAAGCUCAGACAAUACAGGGUGUGUAAUGCUUUUAUCACACAGUCAACAAGAUCCGAAACCACGUGUGCCCCUCACUUCGAUCGUCUGACCGAGGAAACAUCAAGCCAUAAUGCUAAAGACCGCAUUUGUCACAUAUUCUGCAAGAUACGAAACAUCGUACACGCAAAGUACCUUAAGAAACAGGAAGCUAAAAGCACACCCUGUGCCGUUACAACUCAACAGAUCUUCAAAAAGUCAGUAGUUUGUGCGUUAACAUGAGCAGUUAUUACAAAUGUGUAUUUGAAAGGGUCCAAAUCACCAGACAUUAAAUCUAAAAGUCAUCCGAUUCAUGUUCCAUGAAGGGCCUAUAAGUAAACCAGACGUUUUUAUCUGCCCUAAAAUUGAUUGUUCGUUAUUUUUGUGCAUGCUCAGCACACUGUGUUAUGCAUCUUGAUGUUAAAAUUCAAACCCUUCGUUUAGAGGUCGUUCAGACCUCAUGUCCUCUUAGGCCAAUGUGAGCUCACUCCUCUCGUCUACCUGUACACUAUAUCAAAAACAAAAAUCUUUUUAUAUUAAAAAAAACAACUAACACAUUUAUCAACAUUUAUAGGCAGGACUGUGGAAACUGGGUUCUUUUAAAAGAAAACGAUUCCAUCCAUUUAAUGAUUUUUAUAAAUCAGUAUUCGUUUUAUUUUCGGGUCUUUAAGCUGGGAAAUAGCAACGACACGUUCAGGUGCUACAGGAAGACCAGUUACUGCUUUGGUUUCCUAGCUGUAGACUUUUCCUAACUGUUGUCAAUAGUUUUAAUACCAGUCGUGCAAAAUGAAGGACGUUAGUUACUAAACUGUCUUCUAACUUCGUCUUGACAAUAGAGCAUGUUUCAUGAGUUCAUUUUCAGACAUAACCGGACAAAAUAAAAUGGUGUUGUAGAAAAAAAUAAAGUGGAAUUGUUGGGCGGAUUAAAUAUAAGCAAAUUCCACAGUUAAUUUAUUCUUUUUUCUAUUAAGAAUUUGUAUAGUAACAUUUUUCAAAAAACGUGUUGUUGGCAACUGAUACUGAAUUUUCCAGAUGAGAAAUGUGGUGGUUCUUGAGAUCCUGAAAUAAAUUAUUGCUGAAUGUUCUCUAAA